rnacentral:rRNA from 1 species
UACAGAGGUCUCAAGCGUUGUUCGGAUUCAUUGGGCGUAAAGGGUGCGUAGGUGGCGCUGUAAGUCGGGUGUGAAAUUUCGGAGCUUAACUCCGAAACUGCAUUCGAUACUGCGGUGCUUGAGGACUGGAGAGGAGACUGGAAUUCAUGGUGUAGCAGUGAAAUGCGUAGAGAUCAUGAGGAAGACCAGGGGCGAAGGCGGGUCUCUGGACAGUUCCUGACACUGAGGCACGAAGGCCAGGGGAGCAAACGGG